GUUUGAUCAUGGCUCAGAUUGAACGCUGGCGGCAGGCCUAACACAUGCAAGUCGAGCGGUAGCACAAGAGAGCUUGCUCUCUGGGUGACGAGCGGCGGACGGGUGAGUAAUGUCUGGGAAACUGCCUGAUGGCGGGGGAUAACUAGUGGAAACGGUAGCUAAUACCGCAUAACGUCGCAAGACCAAAGUGGGGGACCUUCGGGCCUCACGCCAUCAGAUGUGCCCAGGUGGGAUUAGCUGGUAGGUGGGGUAACGGCUCACCUAGGCGACGAUCCCUAGCUGGUCUGAGAGGAUGACCAGCCACACUGGAACUGAGACACGGUCCAGACUCCUACGGGAGGCAGCAGUGGGGAAUAUUGCACAAUGGGCGCAAGCCUGAUGCAGCCAUGCCGCGUGUGUGAAGAAGGCCUUCGGGUUGUAAAGCACUUCAGCGAGGA
rnacentral:rRNA from 1 species